rnacentral:rRNA from 1 species
AUUGAACGCUAACGGCACGCUUAACACAUGCAAGUCGAACGGCAGCGGGAAGGAAGCUUGCUUUCUUUGCCGGCGAGUGGCGUACGGGUGAGUAAUGCGUAGGGACUUGUCAUUUAGAGGGGGAUAACCUGGGGAAACCCAGGCUAAUACCGCAUAAAUUCUAAGGAACAAAAAGAGGGGACCCUUACGGGCCUUCUGCUAUUUGAGAGACCUACGUUGGAUUAGAUAGUUGGUGGGGUAAUGGCCUACCAAGUCUACGAUCUUUAGCUGGUUUGAGAGGAUGAUCAGCAACACUGGGACUGAGACACGGCCCAGACUCCUACGGGAGGCAGCAGUGGGGAAUCUUAGACAAUGGGCGCAAGCCUGAUCUAGCGAUGCCGCGUGAGUGAAGAAGGCCUUAGGGUCGUAAAACUCUUUCGCCAGAGAUGAUAAUGACAGUAUCUGGUAAAGAAACCCCGGCUAACU